rnacentral:rRNA from 1 species
UUCAAAGGAGGAAAGGCUUAUGGUGGAUACCUAGGCACCCAGAGAUGAAGAAGGGCGUAGCAAACGACGAGAUGCUUCGGGGAGUUGAAAGCAAGCAUAGAUCCGGAGAUUCCCAAAUAGAUCAACCUUUCAAACUGCUGCUGAAUCCAUGGGCAGGCAAGAGACAACCUGGUGAACUGAAACAUCUUAGUAGCCAGAGGAAAAGAAAGCAAAAGCGAUUCCCGUAGUAGCGGUGAGCGAAAUGGGAGCAGCCUAAACCGUGAAAACGGGGUUGUGGGAGAG